UUACAAGACGGAUGUGGAGUGGCUGGAGUCCCACGAAAACUGCGCGAAGGAAGGGGCGGCAGUUGUCAGCAUUGGCAGCUAUAAAGAACAGUUGUUCCUGAAACAGAACUUCGGCGCUACUAAAUUCUGGAUCGGGUACAUCUGGGAUUCGUUCCAAGGCCAGUUCAGGUGGAGUGAUUUCUCCGAGAGGAACUUUGAAAGUUGGAAUCCUGGUCAACCAAACGAUUUAGAUAACAACCUCUGCGCAAUUACCGGUGGCGACAAAUAUGCAGA